UGAGCCCUUGUGGACCUAUCCCUUUCUCU
rnacentral:piRNA from 1 species